GAAAGCACCGUUUAACAUUACUUAUCCCAUUGAAUCUAGUUCCAUAAGUGAGGAGGGUUCGACCAGCAGCUUCAACAUCUGUAUCAACGUCCAGCACCA